rnacentral:rRNA from 1 species
AUGAGUAAUUCAGGACCAAUCGUAUUUCAUCUGGACUCCUUAGGGGUGCAUCCUAGUGGAGGAAUUGAUGACGGCGGUGGUCAUUUCCCAGGUUCAGCAGUGCAUACUUGGAACAGGAGAGCAAUUGGUGCUGGUUACCUUCAAACUCAAUCAACAACGUGCACUUUAUCUUGGAUUGCAACAAGUAGAGGUGCAGGUGGUACCUCCAAGAGAGGUCGUCCAGAUUAUCGUCUUAAAUUCGUGGGUUGUGCAGUUAUAAUUCUUCUAAUGUUAGUGAAUUACCAACAAGUAUUAUAUUGA